GCCUUCGUGGUGUAGUGGUCAGAACGCUUGACGCGUAUUUGAGAGGUUCGUGGUUCGAAUCCCGCCGUGGGCA
rnacentral:tRNA from 1 species